CGAUGCACACACGCCCAACCCACGCGCACACACACCCACGUUGGAUCCCAUCUCUCUCGUCUUCCUCGAUCGCCUUUCUCCACCCCACGCCGCCGCCAGAUUUCGGCGAUCCCCGCCGUUCCCCACCGCCCAGCUCUCCUCCCCGAGGUCACCUCUCCCUGCUCACCAUCUCCACCGACCGGUUUCUCUCCUCGCCCAGGAGAGUCCCGCCUCCUCGCCGCCAAGGCCGUUGCCGCCCGCCGCCUCGAGCGGCUCCGCCUCCUCCUCGAGCGCCGCACCGUAGACCUCGCCUCCCGCGCCCUUGCCGCCCGUGCUGGCAUCAAUGCCACCCACGCGCGCCGCCUUGCCAUCGCCCGUGACAUCAACUCGACCAACAGCGAGAUCGAGGACGCGCAGCAGAAGGCGGAGGAGUGGGGCCGCUUCUACGAGUCCAAGAGGAAGGAGAUGGAGGAGUUCCGGCCGUCAUCUCCACAACCUCCAUCCACCCCGGCCGCAGCCACUUCUCAACCCCACGAGCAGCCUCCUGACCUAGUUCCUCGUCACCGUCCUCCUCCCGGUCCCUGUCCACCCCCGCCUCCACCUGGUGGUCCCAGAGGCGAUGAUUCCCCGUCGCCUCGGCCACCAUAGAGCUCUACGAGGCCGCCAUGGGUGGUGGAGACUCCGUCCGCGUCAUCGAGACGCCGCAGCCCAACUCAAGUGUUAGCCCCAACUUGAUUCUGAUGAAUUGAUGCUUGAUUCUGAUGGUCAUGGUGUGCUGCUUUGCAGGUUAAGUUCAGCAUGGAGGUGCCUCCCUUGAUAUGCAGAGCAGCGGGUUGCACUCGGACCACGCCGGGAUCGGGGAUGCGGAAGCCAGGAAGGCCGACCUCAUGGCUAAGAAGGCCAAGCUAGACGAGACCCUGGCUGCAGCCCGCCAGUUCAGAGCACUGCUUCGGCAGUAGCUCCAGAAAGCCUUCGCGUCACAGGAGGCCCCGGCGGUGUCGAGCUGCUGUUGCUGCGGGCAAAGCAACGUCGAUGUGGUCGGGAUGGUUGCAGCCCUUCAAGAUUCUCAACGGCGGCGUCUCGGCGCUGAUGGCAGAGUCCACGGCGAGCAUCGGCGGGUACAGGUUCAGAUCAUCCAUGAAUUGAUGGAGUAGGAGGACGAGCGGCAGCAGCAAAUCAGCCUGAUGAUGACGGGGUGCGGAAGGCAAUGGUGAUCAUGCUGAUGGCAUGAAGAAGGCUGAUGACCACAACCUGGACCUUUUGGCAUUUAGAGAUGGCAAACACAGGCGGCGUGGAGACAACAACCUGUACCACCCACCUCCCUUACCUUUUUAAUUUUGGUUGUGGUGGUUGCAUCACCGUCGCGGUCGCAAAUUAGUAUGUAGUUGUUGUUGCUGCUAGAUCCCAUGAUGCUCACCUAAGCUUGUGGAGUUGGGUCUGGACCGCAGUGUCCAUCUAGUAGGUUAGGUGUUGUUGCUGCUAGAUCCCAUGAUGCUCACCUCAGUUUUGUGUUAUGUGGAGGCCAACCUUUGUGAUCUUAUUUGUCAACACUUGUGUGAUCUCGUCUUACUUUGUGAUACAAGUUGUACGAUAUA